UUCAACUGAAUAGCGAUGCCCUGCCCGUGCGCUUCGUUCACACCGAACCGGAUCGAUCGAAAACACGACGCAAGGAAGGUCGUGUACAUCGUCUGCUCGUAUUGCUUGUCGAGCUUUCCGC
rnacentral:misc_RNA from 1 species